GUACGUUAAUGUCAACGUUUAAGAAUACUUGCCUUUUGUUUUUAAUCAAAAUAUUAAUACAAGGUGGGUAGAAAAAUAAAUAAAUAAAUGUAAUGUCUACCUACGGUUGCGUUUAGAAACGCGUACAAUUAUUUGUUUCGUUAAUUAAGUAUUAUUUAUUUCUUUUACUAAACUGAUUAACGUAUUUUCAAAUUCAUAUUUAUUAUAACAACUUGGGUUUAGAAAUAAAAAAUUGUAACUUAGUUAAAACUUAAAAAACAAACAGUACGUAGUCAUUAUCUGUAUCGGUGCAACGGCAAGUUGAGCCAAAUUCGAUCUCACGUCAUUGUGAUAUGGUUUCGAUUCUUUUACCUGGACUGCUGUACCAAUGCAAAUCGGAUUCGUUCGCUACUCAUUCACGGGCCGUUCCGUGAGUUUGGUUAGAUGCUUUAGCGAACCGACCAUUUUUUAAAAUAUCAUCACGGAAGACACACGUUCACGCGCUCCUUACAAGUACUCACUUUUGCCAGUCCUUAGUGCGUGACGUUAAUCGUGGUCUUAACGGUUUUAUUUUAUAAUUUUGAAAACAUAUUUUUCAAACUUCGUUUAACUUAUUCUCUAUAUUGUAGAAUCAGUGCAUCUCCCCGUAUUGGGGUCCAAAGUUCGGGUUCAAAGUUCGGCUUAAACUCCGGGCCACGGCUGAUCCGUUGGCCGAACGUCGACAGGCACCGAGAGGCACCGUGCACCGAUUACCCUCUACCAUACUGCAUCACCAUCUGCGGGUCGUCCACCCUGAAGCGCCUCCUCGGCUGAGCGUCAUCACCGGACAUCUCUCCACGUGAAGCCAGGACAGUGCUAGCGCGCUUUACCUCCAUAUAACGAAAUUACUUUUUGCUGACGGGCAUUCGAAUCGCGACCUUGAAAUAAAUUUUUAUGUUCACAAUGUGGGGUUUAAUUUAAAAUCUAAACCGUCCACACGCUAAACGUGACAUUGGCGCCCUUUUCGUGGUUUAUAUAUGGGUCCAAAGUUCGGGUUCAAAGUUCGGCUUAAACUCCGGGCCACGGCUGAUCCGUUGGCCGAACGUCGACAGGCACCGAGAGGCACCGUGCACCGAUUACCCUCUACCAUACUGCAUCACCAUCUGCGGGUCGUCCACCCUGAAGCGCCUCCUCGGCUGAGCGUCAUCACCGGACAUCUCUCCACGUGAAGCCAGGACAGUGCUAGCGCGCUUUACCUCCAUAUAACGAAAUUACUUUUUGCUGACGGGCAUUCGAAUCGCGACCUUGAAAUAAAUUUUUAUGUUCACAA